rnacentral:misc_RNA from 1 species
UUGUCUCACCAAUAUAUAUCUAGGUUCCCAUAACGAAGAAGGACGUAGCAAUAUGCGUCAAUACAAUGUGACUUGCGGAAUUCAGAGAAUCAUCAGGUUGCUGAACGUAUUUUUUACAUUUGACUCCAGUCAGAUGUAUAUAUGUUUCAGGAUCAUGUAAUACAAAUGAUAUUGUGUUCUACAUAAUAUUUUUCAACAAUGUUACUCCAUGUUGACAUUGUAUCAACGAACACUUUCGAAAGAUAUAUUGGGAAGUGUGACUUUUCUUCCACAGAUCUGUAUUCAUAGAAGAUUACCCACUGAAUUUAAGCAUAUUAUUGAGUGGAGGUGAAAAGAAAGUAAAUACUAUUUCUUGAGUAAUGGCGAAUGAAAAAGAAUGUGCUCAUUAUGAAAAUCUGCUACAAGUAGUAGCUGAGUUGUAGUUUUGUGGAUGUCAACCAGUCGAAAUUCAAAGGGAAGUCUCUUGGAAUGGAGUAUAGUAAAAGGUGAAAAUCCUUUUAAUACUUUGCAAUUUUCGAUUUACGGUCGACAUUUUACGAGUCGCGCUCUUUUGAACUGGAGCGUUAAAGAAAGAUAUUUUUCUUUCAAAGCUUGAUACUGAUGGGAAGCCAAUAGAAAACAAGUACCAUGAGGGAAAGAUGAAAAGAACUUUGGAAAGAGAGUGAAAAGUGUUUGAGAUUGUUGAGAUAGAA